rnacentral:lncRNA from 1 species
AAUGAGUCAAAGUCAGUUUUGGGUGUGUGUGUGACGCAGAUAUCAAGGCAAAUCAAGAGGAUUGUCCAACAUUGAGGCCUGGUCCAAUUACUAGAAGUAUUUCCAAACAAUUGAAGACCAACAUUCAGAGCUAUGUGCAAAAGAUGCUUUCUAAUUAUCCUGGACCGAGUUAUGGAGACAACAUCCAAGAAUCUAAUUUGGUGCAUUUAAUUGGGCCUUUGGGCCAUGACCUU